rnacentral:rRNA from 1 species
CUUGGUCAUUUAGAGGAAGUAAAAGUCGUAACAAGGUUUCCGUAGGUGAACCUGCGGAAGGAUCAUUAUCCAAAGAUGCCCUCUAUAGGGAACUCCGUCAACCCACCAGGGUGAUGUGGCCUUUCCUUGUGAAUCCACUCCUUGCUUUGGCAGCAUCUUGCUCAUGAGCAUGUUGUUAGCCUGCCAGUAGCUCCAAAGAAACUACCAUAUUUUGAACUGUCUGAUGAACAAGAAAGCAAAUUUCAGAAAACUUUCAACAACGGAUCUCUUGGUUCUCGCAUCGAUGAAGAACGCAGCGAAACGCGAUAGGUAAUGUGAAUUGCAGAAUUUAGUGAAUCAUCGAAUCUUUGAACGCACAUUGCGCCCCUUGGCACUCCGGGGGGCAUGUCUGUUCGAGCGUCAUAUCACUCUCAAGUCAUCAUUUGUCAUGGUGAUCUUGGUUUUGAGCUGUGGAGUUGUUGCAUCUCCAGCUCUAAAGUUGUAGGAUGCGGUCCACGUCAAACCCUGAACAUGAUAGCAUUCUUUGUUGUUGUUUGGUGGUGCUGAGCGCUGGACUAGCCUUUCAAUCUUAAAUUUUGACCUCGGAUCAGACAAGGAUACCCGCUGAACUUAAGCAUAUCAAUAAGCGGAGGA